AACAGCCUGAUAAGCAGGAGGAGCCCCAGCUUUUGAAAUGUGCAGACUGGCCCCCCCUCAAAACCUACCAACCCUAAUCCCUGUAUAACAAAUCCGGGAACUGGAAACUGAGGUUGAUCCUUUCCAUUUUCUGUGCUCCAGAGGUGCAAUGGGAUCUGCUUUUCAAUUUAGGCUGUGGUUAUCUCUAGAACCUGACAGAAUACUGGCAAUGCUGAAAUCCUGUAACAUUCCAUGAGCUCAGGCAGGGAACUGCUUGAUUAACAGACCUGUAAUGAAGUGCAGGAACUAAAUUUUAUUUUAGUCUUACGGAGCAUAUUUAAAACCAAACCAAACCAAACCAAAAAAAAAAAAAAAAAACAAAAAAAAAAAAAAAAACCACCAAAAAACCCGAACAACCCAGCAAAGAAAAAAAUUGAAGCUAUUAAUUAUGUUAAUUUCAUUAUAUAUAGUUCAGGAUAAUUCUGAGUAUGACCAGGGAGUAGAUUAAGGAGAGAGCACUGAGUGGGCCAGAGUUCCUGGUUUGGGGAAGUUGGGAACAGAUCAGCAGGGUGGGAAAGCUGAUGAGCUUUGGACAAGUGGGGACCCAGAAGAUGGAAGGAUAUAGGGAUGGGAUGCCAGGUUUGGGAAGACAGGAGCAUAUCUACAGGAAUGGUCAGAGCCUGGCAGAGCUGCAGGGAGACACAGCUCAUCCUUGGGGCUCACAAGGAGCUAAGCUGGUGUUGGUUUUCUAAGUUUUUACAGCGAUGAGGCAACUGAGAGGCAUUUUAAACGAUUUUAUUCCAUUAUCAGUCUUGAUGAUGAGAUGUAAAAAUGCUAUUCGUGUCAGAAGCUAACCUAUUUCUUGGUUACAAUACUUUAUAAAUGUUUUUCAGCUUAUUUGUUUUUGCCACACAAUGUUGCCAUUACUUCUAGCACUAAUCACCUCUGUUUUUUCUCUAGGUGGUGUUGCUACAACGCAUCUUUCACAGUUCUAGUUUUCUAAAAUAUCUAGUAUUUUUGUAAGGCUACAUUUUGAAAGUUGUUGAAACUUGGUUUUAGUUUAAUUUCUCUCUUAACAAUGUCAUCUCUAUUCUAUGGCUUUCUUAAGUUAGCACACUUAAUUUUAGUAUUUGUAUACAGAUAUAUAAGACUGAGUUUUCUGACAGCUUUUGAGAAUUCUUUACAAAUCCAUUUCCCACAACCUGCCACAUUUAUUUUGUUUGGAAAUAAUUUUUAGGGCAUUGGAGGGUGAAAAAAAAGCUGUAGUUUUUCCUUUUUUCUUUUCAGCUUGGCGAUAGGACAAGGGAGUAGAGGACUAGUACUACUUCCCUGUAGGAUUUUCCCCAGAGAGAGUUGCAAGGCUUGGCUUGGUCAAAAAUCCCUGAUCAAAGGGGAGCAAAGAGGGCAAAUGGGAAGGGUCGGGAAUGUGACUUCCUUCAUCUUGAGCAGUUCUGAGUUUAAAGGUUCCCAUUUGUGGAAGUUCUUCUGCUGGGGGGACUUUCUCUCCUCUCAGGCCUUUCCCUGGGGACUGGACAAACGUGACUCCAAACCCAGCAGCUCCGGAGCUGACCUUCAUUUUGCAAAGCUCCCAAACACAAAAUGCAGGGAUACUUAUGUCUGAGAGAUGGAAAUGCUGAGACCCACAUGCUGAUUACAAACUCAUCACGCUGGAAGCUGCCAGGAUGGUGUUUACCCACAGCUCAGCAACACUUCCUCCAAGCAAAGGUCUCAGCUCUUACUGGGAAUUCUGCAGGGUUUUCCUCUGCCAGGUGCUGGUGAUCAAUACUGUUGGCACAGAAGGAUGAGGAAUUUGUGGUCACUGCUCGUACAGGAAUGGUGGAAAAGGGGCAGAUCAAUAAUUCACAGAAAGACCUGCCUGAAACGAUGAGCACAUCAAGCAGUAAAAAAUAUUUCAGGAGCUGAGAUUAACUGUGAUCUCGUUCAAUAACUGCUCUCAAGAGCAGCCUUUUAACUUCCUUUAUUUCUGGGACAAUGAACGUUUGCUACCUCAUGUUUCACUUCUCCAUGAAGAAUAAACACCUCGAAAGGUUUGAGUACAAACUUUAUCAGAGCUUGGCUGAAAAAUUUGCCUAAGCUGUGCCCAAAACUUAUGGAGAAUUGCAAUGGCAAUGUGAGGAAAAAGGAGAAAUUAAUAGGAAUCGGUGAGACAAUUCCAUGUUAUUUUAAACCAUUGUAUUUUGUGGUCAAAAAGCCUCAAGCACUUCACAUGUUGACAGAAAAACUGCAUUUUGCUUGGGGAAAAAAAGUAAUUUCAACCCCCAUGAAUGGGGCUUGGAGAAGUAAAUCCAUAGAAAUUAAAUCUCGUAAAUACAAUGGAAUUUUAAAAAUGCAGUGGUAUUACCAAAGUCUUUUUGUUGAACAGUGAAAAGGACUUUCAAUAAUUGAAGAUUUUGUUUUUAUACAUCAUUUAUUCAACAGAAAUAAUUGGGAGGCAUAAUUUAUUACAUGUUCCAUAACCUGUUAUGCAAAAUGAAGUGAUUUGUAAAGCAAAUAUCUAAAUACAAAAUGACAAAGCAUUGAGCUGCUCCAGAAAAUCCAGAGAUACAUACAUGGAAAGCAGAAGUGUAAGGAGCAAUACUUACAGAUGGAAUGGAGGGGG
rnacentral:lncRNA from 1 species